UAGGGAAUCUUCCGCAAUGGACGAAAGUCUGACGGAGCAACGCCGCGUGAGUGAAGAAGGAUUUCGGUUCGUAAAACUCUGUUGUUAGGGAAGAAAAAAUGUAUAGUAACUAUAUACAAAAGAGACGGUACCUAACCAGAAAGCCACGGCUAACUACGUGCCAGCAGCCGCGGUAAUACGUAGGUGGCAAGCGUUGUCCGGAAUUAUUGGGCGUAAAGCGCGCGCAGGCGGUUAGAAAAGUCUGAAGUGAAAGGCAGUGGCUCAACCAUUGUAGGCUUUGGAAACUGUUUAACUUGAGUGCAGAAGGGGAGAGUGGAAUUCCAUGUGUAGCGGUGAAAUGCGUAGAUAUAUGGAGGAACACCGGUGGCGAAAGCGGCUCUCUGGUCUGUAACUGACGCUGAGGCUCGAAAGCGUGGGGAGCGAACAGG
rnacentral:rRNA from 1 species